rnacentral:lncRNA from 1 species
GCGUGUCGACCACUGUAGUGAUCGCAGUACUGGAUUCAGCUUCUGAAUGGUUUCCAUGGUGUCUUGAAGUAACAGAUAUCCACCAGGUCUCAGUAUGCGAUCCAUUUCCACAGCUACAUCUAUAAUGUUACAUCUGACAGACAGGUUCAAAAUCUCGCAUCACCAUUCUACAUUAUUCACUCUUUUUCAAGUACAAAUCAGAGCAAUAGAUCAUUACUUAUAUACCUCUCUUGACGGUUUUUGAAGAGAAAACUGGAAUGCAGCAGAUCAUAUGUUCGAGGGUACGUACUCAAUGACUCGCACCAGUCAUGAUAGAUUCCGAUCAAGCCCCUUUCGAAAAUAAUGGACAAGGUAUCUUGUGCAUCAAUUGGUACAACAUUCAUCACCCAGAGAGGAAGCUCAUUAAGUGCCGCCGCAAACCUGUAAAACCACAAUGCGUAUGGUGUUGUAAGAUUUCUUUAUGACAGAAACCUGUAAAAACAUAGUUCUAUUUCUUACCCUCCAUAACCAGCAUUCAUAUCCAUCACAUUUCUUAAACUAGCCCAGUUUAUAGCUAGAGCAUCAAAAUAGACAUCAGAUACAAGUGCAGCCCAAUGUUUGGUGUCCUCAUUGAAUAUAGCUUCGGCAUCUGCUUCAGCUGGAAGGCUUUGAGGCUUAUUCUUAAGCCUGUGGGGCCAUGGUGAGGGCCAGCCAAGCAAAUUACCGUUGCUAUCAACUGGAAGUCUGGAAGUACAAUGCCUAAGAGGCUUGUACCUGUCAUUGUGAAUUAGAAAUCUCAAGAAGCAAUUUCAACAUAAUUAGAAGGUAGCAUCUUUUAUGCCAACAUUAUUUUAGGACAGAACACUCUGUCUACACAUAACAAGUGGCACACAGAGCUGUGAACAUGUUGAAGCAUGCCUUUCGAGUGUAAGCAAUGUAAUAAUAUUAUAUACUAGAUCAUAAAAGAUUACCAUGAGACUUCCUUCUUAGUUUUCUGAUCACAUAAUGGUGGACGUUUUGUUCUGUCGUGUGCAUAACAGGAAUAUGAGGAAGGCUUUUGAUAUAUUACAAGCCCAAUUUCAGUUGAAUCAAAAUUGUCACGUUUAGCCACAACCUUCCAGCAGAUUGAUUGUGUCAAAGCCAC